AACGAACGCUGGCGGCAGGCCUAACACAUGCAAGUCGAACGCCGUAGCAAUACGGAGUGGCAGACGGGUGAGUAACGCGUGGGAACAUACCCUCCGGUUCGGAAUAACUCAGGGAAACUUGAGCUAAUACCGGAUACGUCCAAGGUUUUAAUCGGCCUUGGAGAAAGAUUUAUCGCCGGAGGAUUGGCCCGCGUCUGAUUAGCUUGUUGGUGAGGUAAUGGCUCACCAAGGCGACGAUCAGAGCUGGUCUGAGAGGAUGAUCAGCCACAUUGGGACUGAGACACGGCCCAAACUCCUACGGGAGGCAGCAGUGGGGAAUAUUGGACAAUGGGCGCAAGCCUGAUCCAGCCAUGCCGCGUGAGUGAUGAAGGCCUUAGGGUUGUAAAGCUCUUUUACCCGGGAAGAUAAUGACGGUACCGGGAGAAUAAGCCCCGGCUAACUUCGUGCCAGCCGCCGCCGUAAC
rnacentral:rRNA from 1 species